UUUAGUUUUGUCACCUUCAUGAGUAGAUGCAGCCUUCGAAUUUCAAAUAAGGUAGUUUUCAAAACUAUUGUAAACAAAUUCUGCUCACACACACACACAUUCUUUAUGUCAUGAAAUAUUUCCAUAAAAUAAACCACACAGAAAAAGAAAAAGAUUGUUUUUUAUCUCAGUAUUAUUAUGUGAUUUAGUUAAUAAGCUGCUGGAGCUGCUUCCUUUUAUGGAAGUUUGCUGUGAAA
rnacentral:misc_RNA from 1 species